UUUUUAAGUAAAUGGGCAGUUCUUGUGGACUAUUUUAUAUCUUUUUGUGAUUAAGUGAAAUGGCAAUAAUUGCAACAUAUUUUCAAUACAGGCCUCCAAUUACAAGGUUUGCUUUUCUUUGCAGCUGUCAUGUGCAACUUCUAAGUGAGACUUCCUCAGUGCCUGUCUGGGAGCUGGCAGAUUUCACUUCAAGGCUGAUGAAAGAAUAAAAACGCGAUCAAGCUGUGCUUUGUGCCUCUUGAUGAAAAAAAUCUCUCCAGAGAAACACAAAGACUUUUUACUUUCCGGGUGUAUGGAUUCUAGAUUUUCUGGUCCUCACAUUGCCAAAUAAUACAACAUUCAAUAUCUAACCUAUAUUUUCUUCUUAUUUUUUUUCCUGUUUUAUUUAUUUCGUGAUGGACUUUUUCAUGCGGCUGUCAGCUGUACUGUAUGUGUUUAUAAAAUCGUCACACAAGAGCCAUGAUCAUUGCAUGUCUGUGAGGAGAUUAAUGUACUUUUUCUUAAUGAAGAAUGGGAAAUUUCAGCAUGAAAAGCUUAUUUCAAAAUUCUCUAUGCAUGAACAUUUGUUCUUCAUGCCAGAUCUGAGCCCAGCGGACUCCACAAUCUACUCCAAGGUUCCCAUUGGACCCAUUAAGGUGGAUCCCAAGAGCCAACGGAGAAUAAUUAUUUUAGGAUGGUGAGAUUAAGUAAAUAAAAGAAGAAUAAAGCCAAAACGUGGAAGAAUCCUCGGAAGGCCUUCAUUAUGUCAAAAGCUGAAGAUUAAAUACAGUAUACAUAUACUGUAUAUGCAGCAUCAUUCAAACUAUAGAGACAUCAGGAAAGCUGGGAGAAAGAACAAUUUUUUCUUCACUUUGAUACCUAGAGCACAAAAGUCUAACUCAAUUCUGUGUACUGUAUAUACUGUGCACUUCCAUUUCACUUUAUCUUGUUUAUUCCUAUUGUUAAACACCAUAAACAGACUGUAGCAGGAUUAAGUGAUUCUUUAAAUAACGCAGGUUUGAAAUGAGGGGUGGAUUGUAUCAUUUUUGCAUUUUUACAUAAAUCGCUAAAAAUACAGAAAAAUAAAUAUAGGAUUCACCAACACUAAAAAAAAAAGAGCAGCUUUCUUUCCUGGGAAGCAGCAGUAUUGCCUAUUAGAGUUUAAUCCCUGUUUAUAAUAUGGUCUACACCUACUUUAGAUAAAACAGAAAUGAUUGUAUUAUUUCACAGUGAAUAUGAAGUCACCAUUAGAAAAAUAAUACCAACAAACACAAACAAAUGUGUCACACCAGCACACAUCUCCCCUGCACUCCACUAGUCAGCAGUGAUAUGUGAUAAGGCCAUCUUUUUGCUUCUGCCUAAUUUAAAAUGCUCAGCAUUGGAAACAAUGAAACAAUGUAUAUUAACAAAAUACAAUAUAUUUUCACAAAUGCUGGAGACAGAAUUUACAUUGGCAAAUACUGCUGCAAACAUUUCUUUGACUUUCUUUUAUUUCACCCUAUUGACAGGUAAUAUUUAUUUUAUUUUAUUUUAUUUUGCAUUGCAAAUUAUGAUUCAUUUUAUUCACAAAAAUAGGGCAAAUAUGUAUUGAAACUCUCUUAAUAUCACCAUAAGAGGGAUAGGCAGAAACCACUAUGUCAAACAGAGGUGACUGUUUACCUAACAGAGCACUUCUUCUUGGCUAGUAUCAGUACAUUGCAGAAAUGUGAUGCAGUUCUGCUAAACCUUCUUAUUGUUUUGGAGAAAUUACAGUAUACAGUAUGGUGUUAGUCUACAGAGAUGAAAAAACAUCUGUAUGACUGAUGUUAUUGACAGUAAUGACAAUAACUAAAGUGAUAAAUUAUUUUGAUUACAUUGACAUUUCUAGUAGUUUUCAGUGUGAUGAUAAUCAGGUUUAUUGUUGUUAACAGGAGGAAAAUUAAGCAAGGUCAACCUUUUCUGUACCUAUUUUAUCAUGUGCUGCAAUAGACAUUUCCUAAGGCUCAGGGAAUGACUAGCUUCUCAUGUAGAGUCUUUCUGCAUGCACAUUUUUGACAAUACUCUAGGUACUGUGUUCUGUGGCAUUUCAGCCACUCUGUGGAUUUUGCUGGCAGGAGAGUGGAACCCCAUUCCAGUCCAUUCUCUCUAUUUGCAAUCCACCAUAAACUACCUCACUGCAGGCUCAUUAUUUGGACAAUGUAUUUCAAAGCAACUUUAAUUUUGCUGGAAUAAAGUCAAAAUUCUGAGCAUACUGUAUUUGGGGAUACUUCCAGGCACCUGAAGAGUAAUUAUUAAAAACCGGAAUAAGUAAAUCCACUGUUUUUCAUGUUAUAAUUGCUUGUUUACCAGCUUCAAUAACAUGAGAUUUAUUGCUGAAUGUCAGCUGGACAAUGUAAGGCCAAGACACCAAACUGCAACAGCCUCCGCAGGCAACAGAAUCCAAUUCUCAGAGUCUAAUUAUCCCUGCGCAAAACUGUGCUCAUUAUUGCCCCUAGACACCAAUGAAAUCCCAGCACAAAAACAAGAACUGGCUCUAAUCAGGUUCCAAAACAAUGUGACCUUUUAAAUGUGAUCCUAGAGAUCGUCUGCCUCUCUCUAUCUCUUGCAGGUACUCCAGCACCGAAUUGGUUAUUAGUUGUGGGGAAAAACACAGGUUAAGAAAAAAUGUUUAUAGAUACAGCAUAACAUGUCUGCUUCAUACAACAGUCAACACAAUGUGGAUUUUAUUUUUUUCUUUCCUUCUUUUAAAAUUAGCUUUGCCUUUAACAGGCUUUACACAUGUGGGCAUCAAGUAUCUGCAAAGUGUAAGUGUAUCUACAAACACAGUAUGCUGUAGAUGAAGCCAGUAUCCUCCACAAUCAACACUUUGUCAUUUUUUAUCAUUUUUAAAUUAUGUUUUGAAGACAGAUGUUCUUUAAUUGGUCAAAUUAUGAAAAUGAAAAUGUGGCGAUACAUUUUGCUGUGCUUUACUGCUUCUGCACUAUUAGUAUGAUUACUACAGCUACUACAACUACUCUAGGCUUUCCCAAUUUGUAAUUUCAGCCAUUUGUUUGCAUAGAGCCAAUAUUUUCCUGCCUUAUUGUACAGCUCAAGGUGGAGAGAUAUUCCUGAACCAUGCUGCAAAAUGCUGGACUUCCUUUCAUUAAAUUGGUGAUAAUAAUAAUAAUUGCUUACACUUUUAUAUAGUACUUUUCCAGACACUCCGCUCAAAGUACUUUACAGGUAAUGGGGACUCCCCUCCACCACCACCAAUGUGCAGCAUCCACCUGGAUCAAUUAUAAUUGAUUAUAUUAAAUUUAUGACCACCAAAGUUGGAUUUUUCUAAACUACUGUACAUUAUGGAUAAAUAUAUAGUAGUUCUGAGGUCAAAGCUCAUUUCAUCAGUUCGUUUUUCUUCUUAUCUUUAAAAGACAAAACUGGUGUUUCUGCAAUGUUCAUGGUAGUUUAGGACAGAAACUACAGGUAGUGGGGACUGAUAGUGGGUUCAAUUUCUGAUAUGCAAAUUUCACAGGAAGAAAAAGAGACAAAAACAUCAACUCCAGCUACUGAGUGAUGGCAGGCAAAUGAUUCUCAUUUGUCAGUGCUCUGCUACAUCCGCAAACUACAGUAGUGACCCUUAAGAAACUUUAUACUCCAGUCUCAAAAAUAGCAUUUGACAACUUGAUAUAAUCUGUGGUUGCCUAUCUGAAAAGCCCAUCAGCUCUAUACAGUGUAGAGGUAACAAAAUUAAGCAAAGGCUGUCAUUUAGAGUCAGUUAUCACAACUUUAAAUCAAGUUUAUAAAUCUUCACAGGGAGCCUCAGAUGGUGCUUGCAUGCAAACUGACCAGAAGUGGUCUUUUCUCAUCAAUACCUGAUAAGAAUCAAAUUAAGCUUUUUUUACUGAUGUAUGUAAACAUCCAUUCACAAGGGACACUGAAAAUCAAUAUAUUUUCUGCACUUUUUCAUAGCAUAAUCCAUCCAGCCAAUUACUGUACUUUCUCUGUGUUUAAUAUACUCAUGUUGUAUUCUUAUUUUUAAUUUUACUGUACAGAAUUUACUAUCAUAACUUGCUAGCAUUAUUAUUUUAAAUUGUUUUUUUAAAUACAUAUCUUUUUCUGCCCUCA
rnacentral:lncRNA from 1 species